AUUGAACGCUGGCGGCAGGCCUAACACAUGCAAGUCGAGCGGAUGAGAAGAGCUUGCUCUUCGAUUCAGCGGCGGACGGGUGAGUAAUGCCUAGGAAUCUGCCUGGUAGUGGGGGACAACGUUUCGAGAGGAACGCUAAUACCGCAUACGUCCUACGGGAGAAAGCAGGGGACCUUCGGGUCUUGCGCUAUCAGAUGAGCCUAGGUCGGAUUAGCUAGUUGGUGAGGUAAUGGCUCACCAAGGCGACGAUCCGUAACUGGUCUGAGAGGAUGAUCAGUCACACUGGAACUGAGACACGGUCCAGACUCCUACGGGAGGCAGCAGUGGGGAAUAUUGGACAAUGGGCGAAAGCCUGAUCCAGCCAUGCCGCGUGUGUGAAGAAGGUCUUCGGAUUGUAAAGCACUUUAAGUUGGGAGGAAGGGCAGUAAGUUAAUACCUUGCUGUUUUGACGUUACCGACAGAAUAAGCACCGGCUAACUCUGUGCCAGCAGCCGCGGUAAAAC
rnacentral:rRNA from 1 species